rnacentral:lncRNA from 1 species
AUAAACAAAAGCUCUUUGGGUUCUCAACAAUUUUUAAGAGUCCAAGGAAUCCUAAGAGCAAAAAGCUUGUUGAGUAACCACUGUUGUAUACCAUUGAUUAUGGUCUUGCUGAAACAAAAAGCAAAAUGUGCCUUUAUGGGUGACUGGCCCCAGGAAUUGGGAACAGCUUAGAGUGGCCAUGGAACCUCGAGUCCUCUCCUUCUUGCUAAUGGCUAAAUUCACACCAGAAGCCAUGUUGUGUAUAUAUUUUUUUAUCUUCUACAGAAUCCAGCAAGACUUUGAAUGCCGGAUACAUACUCUGUAGGAGCUUCUCUCGCUAGAGCAGAAAGGACACAGCAUUGGCCGGGCAGCAUGUUUGUUUGUUUGCCCUGAGUCCUGGGGCAGCUAGUUAUCUUGGGCAGAGUUAGUUUUCGGGUCUGGAGCCAGGAAAACACACUCCUUAAUGCCCACAUAUUUGCAGUGCGACACAUAGCUUGGAAGCUUGUCACACCUAUUGCAACCGCUGCGUGACCUGUCUCCCAGGAAAGAUUGUCUCCAUGAGAUAUUCUUAGGGAUGAAUGCGGUGAGAAACGUGUACACCACUCGGGACAGCAGCCACAUAACUUCAGAGGUUCGUCCGCUCACAGGCCCCUGCGGUCUGGGCUGUGCCGGUGGUCUGCCUAGGAAACUGCCUUCAGUACGCAGGGGACUGUGAGUUGCCCAGUAGCUGCAUUUGAGAAUCAAAGCACCGAUUUCAGGCAGCGAUAGGCUGUUUGUCUGGAGACGGGCGUGGAGACUCUGCUUUCAUGUUCGCCUGCUGAAGGAAUAGAAGGCAGGAUGAACUCAGACUGAAUGGCUGGCUCUGAUAUGUGUUUGAAUGAAAACCAAAGUAAACACCACCAUUUCACCAAUGGCACACAGAUGGACUCCUGCUUGACGCCACGAGAGGAAAACUAAAAAUGAAAUCAGCCAGAAUAACUAUUUUUGUUAUUAGUUAUAAUGAUUUUAAAACAAGCAAUUCUAUUGUUUUAAAAGAGAGCAUCAAAAUAACAGGAAAAUUGGAAAGAAAGUAGCAAUGUUAUAUAAUGUCUGAAAAUAAGCUAAAAAGAAUGCACAUGAUUUCAGUGGAAGAAUAAAAGUCCAAGGAAAGGAUAUAACAAAACUUUUUGUAUGUGUCACAAGCUGCUCCCAUCACUACUGAAGACAAAAGAGGAGAAAGUGGGUUUGUACUAUACUGCUAGGAAUUUGGGUUAGACCAUGAGAGCACAGUUGCUAUAAUAACAGUGGGGAAGCGAACAGGGACAGUAAUGGGAUGAUGCCUCAUGAGGGUCCCUGUGUGUUUGGAGUGGCUCAGGGCCUCCUUUCCAUCUUAGGCAGUGAGUUACAAAUAUUGCAGUGCGUUACUUUCUACAUAAUUAUUUAACCUAAAGAAACACUUAAAUGAUGACCACCGCCUGCAAUGAGGCAAUAGCAAGGAUUAAAAAUAGCCAAGGCAAGGCAUUAAAAUAUCAGGUAGCAAACAGUUAAUAUAUGUCCUUAAUGAAUGAAACAAGUUUUUCGGAAGCAAGAAACUAUGACUAGGAAGACUUGGAAAAUUGUAGGCUUGUGUGUGCUGAUUCUAAUUUUCCAUUGUAUAUGUUCUUGUUUGUAAUUCCUUUCCCGCCCCUCAACCAUUUAGGGCUCACUCUAGAUUUUAACCCCUCCGGAGUCUCACACUUCCACAUAAUUAGGUUAGGUCGCCCUCUGGUGGCACAGAGCUAAUCUAUCUUCUGAUAAAGCCUGUGUAUCCUCUGCAAUGCCUUAGAUUUGAGCUAAUUAAAUAUUCUGUUGGCGCUAUCAUAUGUUGCAAAUACAAACUGAUACUUUUUAAUGGAAUGAAGAAACACUAAAGACCUAAUUACAGUUUCUGUUUCAUUUCUUGUAAAGACUUCAGGAAGCAAUUUGGGAUCUUGAAGAACCUAAGUAAUAUUCACUGUACUGUUCUAUCAGAAAUAUGUCAUUAAUAGGGAUUCUGUGUUACUGAGAUUGAUAGCAUGUUUGAUAAAUACGCUUUCAUUGUUAAUGGCAAAUAAAACACUCUGGCUUAUAAAAAGAUGACCUCAGCCAGGACAAUCUUCAUAAACCUACUUGAAAUGGACUUGAAAAAUAAAAAGGGCCAAUAAUCACUGCAAAUAUACAGGAGGUGAGAAAAAAUUUUAAUAAGUGAAUAAUUGAAUUUUGAAAAUUGUCCAAGCAACAGGCUUAAUCAGCAGGCAGGGUGCUAGUGCUGAUACCGUCUAUCUAGCUCUGUGGUCUUGGAUUCCAUUAGAUGUACCAAUAGCCUUAAGCUAGAUUUACGAUUUUUUCUUAAACUACCUACAAUGUUACUUGUAACCCAAAGAAUCUCAAUUAAUAAAUGCUCUCCAGAAGACUACAAUCAGCAGAGACCCAAUAAUAUAUACAUAUACAUUAUAAAGGCAAUUUAAACAACAAAUAGCCAGGAAGACUUCCUCAAUUAUUCGGAAUACAUUGGGAAACAUGGCAGAAGUGAGCAUCAGAUUUAACAUGUAAUAGGCACAGCUAUGAGGAGAGAGGCUGAUAUUUAAUCUCAAGCUCAGAUUUUGAGGAAAAGGGCUGUGAUGGAUCUGGCUUUGGUCAGGAGCUCACCCUGCUAUUACUGUAGCUGUGAAUAGGGUAAAUCAGGUGGGAUUUGGGGCUGCAGCACGUAACCCAACAGAUGUGAACUGCGAGGACAAAUUCAUAUCAAUCCUAGGGGGAAUAAAGGAAUAGUAUCUUGCUUUAAGCCCUGACAAACAUGUGUUUAUGCUACUUCUGCUACUGUUAAUAAUUAAUAGUGAAGUUGGUAUUUUUUCUCACAUUGAAAUUAGGCAGUAUAACUAAAGCCAUAUUAUUGAGUUAAUGUAUUCUAACCCAUGCCACAAAAAGAUUUUAUGGCCCUGUGAAGAUUUCUUACAAAGAAUAUGGCAUAGUAAAAAAAAUUAAUCUCAGAUAAAAAUGCAUCUGAGCCUUCAAUGUCAGCUAUAAAAUUCCAUAAUUUGAAAAAAAGUUAAAUUUUAAUAGAAGGAUUUGAGACAGGAACAAAUAUCAUUAACAAAAUACUGUUUUACUGUUUUUGCCUAACAUUUGUACGUUUCCAGCGUCUUUAAAUUACACAUUUACUAUUUCCUCUAACACUGCAGGUAGUCGGAUCCUUAGUUAAUGUUCGUUUCAUUAAUUGGAGAAAGAAAUUGAAGGAUUUCUCAAGAUCACAUAAAAUCUCUUAGAGAAGUCCACAUGGUUUUUGUUUGAUCCAUCUAUUCAUCUAUCCAUCCAUCCAUUCAUCCAUCCAUCCAUACAUUCAUACAUUUAUUCAUCAGAUGCCUAUUGAGCAAGUCUGUAUAAUAUGUAUGUACUGUUACAAGGGUAGCAAAGGUGAAUUAGAUAUAAUAUCCCUGUAUUCAAGGAGCUUGCAAUAUAGUAGGACCAAUAAGACAUGUAUAAAUUUAGAAAAUAGGCUGACAUGGGUGCUUUAUACAUUAACAGGAUUGGAAUUUCAGAAGCUAAAGGGAUCUUACAGAUUAUGUAGUCCAAUCUAUCUCAAGAGUACAUAAAUAUUCUGUAGAAUAUCUAGUAUCCAAGAAUUGUUCCUAACACUCUUAAAAAAUAU